rnacentral:rRNA from 1 species
GAUGUGUCUCAGGAUGAACGUUAUCGGCAGCCUAUACACAUGCAAGUCGAGGGGUAGAGUGCUUCGGCACUUGAGACCGGGGACGGGUGCGUAACACGUGUACAAUCUACCUUUUGCUAAGGGAUAGCCCGAAGAAAUUUGGAUUAAUACCUUAUAGUAUUUUUUAGUGGCAUCACUAAAUAAUUAAAGCUCUGGUGGCAAAAGAUGAGUACGCGUCCCAUUAGCUAGUUGGUGUGGUAACGGCAUACCAAGGCUACGAUGGGUAGGGGUCCUGAGAGGGAGGUCCCCCACACUGGUACUGAGACACGGACCAGACUCCUACGGGAGGCAGCAGUGAGGAAUAUUGGACAAUGGUCGGAAGACUGAUCCAGCCAUGCCGCGUGCAGGAUGACGGCCUUAUGGGUUGUAAACUGCUUUUAUAGGAAGAAUAAGGUCUACGAGUAGAUUGAUGACGGUACUGUAUGAAUAAGCAUCGGCUAACUCCGUGCCAGCAGCCGCGGUAAUACGGAGGAUGCGAGCAGCGUUCUCGGAAUCAUUGGGUUUAAAGGGUCCGUAGGCGGGCUUAUAAGUCAGAGGUGAAAGCACUGAGCAACUGAGUAACUGCCUUUGAAACUAGGUGAUGUAACUUUUGCUGAAGUAGCUGGAAUGUGUAGUGUAGCGGUGAAAUGCAUAGAUAUUACACAGAACACCGAUUGCGAAGGCAUGUUACUAACAAAUUAUUGACGCUGAUGGACGAAAGCGUGGGGAGCGAACAGGAUUAGAUACCCUGGUAGUCCACGCUGUAAACGAUGGAUACUAGCUGUUUGGAAUUAAUAUCUGAGUGGCUAAGCGAAAGUGAUAAGUAUCCCACCUGGGGAGUACGCACGCAAGUGUGAAACUCAAAGGAAUUGACGGAG